ACAAUCAAAUUUGGAGCGGCAAUUGGAGUUGAUAGAGACUCAUCAACAGGAGGUUGAUAAGGCUUUACAGAGUAUGGAGGAAGAAGCUGAACGUACUUACAAGGAUGAACGUGGUUUGCUUCUUGACGAUGAAGCUGCAUCGACAAGAGAUGCAAUGUAUGAGCAAUCUGAAUUAAUUGAAAGGGAACUUGAGCAGAUGACUGAACAAAUCAAAUCGGUUAUUCAAUCCCUUAAUUCAAACCAGGGUGGAGAACUUGAUACCCUUG